GGGUUGUGAGGUUAAGCGACUAAGCGUACACGGUGGAUGCCCUGGCAGUCAGAGGCGAUGAAGGGCGUGCUAAUCUGCGAUAAGCGCCGGUAAGGUGAUAUGAACCGUUAUAACCGGCGAUACCCGAAUGGGGAAACCCAGUGUGAUUCGUCACACUAUCAUUAACUGAAUCCAUAGGUUAAUGAGGCGAACCGGGGGAACUGAAACAUCUAAGUACCCCGAGGAAAAGAAAUCAACCGAGAUUCCCCCAGUAGCGGCGAGCGAACGGGGAGGAGCCCAGAGCCUGAAUCAGCAUGUGUGUUAGUGGAAGCGUCUGGAAAGGCGCGCGAUACAGGGUGACAGCCCCGUACACAAAAGCGCAUGUGCUGUGAGCUCGAUGAGUAGGGCGGGACACGUGGUAUCCUGUCUGAAUAUGGGGGGACCAUCCUCCAAGGCUAAAUACUCCUGACUGACCGAUAGUGAACCAGUACCGUGAGGGAAAGGCGAAAAGAACCCCGGCGAGGGGAGUGAAAAAGAACCUGAAACCGUGUACGUACAAGCAGUGGGAGCNNNNNNNNNNNNNNNNNNNNNNNNNNNNNNNNNNNNNNNGGGCGUUAAGUUGCAGGGUAUAGACCCGAAACCCGGUGAUCUAGCCAUGGGCAGGUUGAAGGUUGGGUAACACUAACUGGAGGACCGAACCGACUAAUGUUGAAAAAUUAGCGGAUGACCUGUGGCUGGGGGUGAAAGGCCAAUCAAACCGGGAGAUAGCUGGUUCUCCCCGAAAGCUAUUUAGGUAGCGCCUCGUGAAUUCAUCUCCGGGGGUAGAGCACUGUUUCGGCUAGGGGGCCAUCCCGGCUUACCAACCCGAUGCAAACUGCGAAUACCGGAGAAUGUUAUCACGGGAGACACACGGCGGGUGCUAACGUCCGUCGUGAAGAGGGAAACAACCCAGACCGCCAGCUAAGGUCCCAAAGUCAUGGUUAAGUGGGAAACGAUGUGGGAAGGCCCAGACAGCCAGGAUGUUGGCUUAGAAGCAGCCAUCAUUUAAAGAAAGCGUAAUAGCUCACUGGUCGAGUCGGCCUGCGCGGAAGAUGUAACGGGGCUAAACCAUGCACCGAAGCUGCGGCAGCGACACUGUGUGUUGUUGGGUAGGGGAGCGUUCUGUAAGCCUGUGAAGGUGUGUCGUGAGGCAUGCUGGAGGUAUCAGAAGUGCGAAUGCUGACAUAAGUAACGAUAAAGCGGGUGAAAAGCCCGCUCGCCGGAAGACCAAGGGUUCCUGUCCAACGUUAAUCGGGGCAGGGUGAGUCGACCCCUAAGGCGAGGCCGAAAGGCGUAGUCGAUGGGAAACGGGUUAAUAUUCCCGUACUUGGUGUUACUGCGAAGGGGGGACGGAGAAGGCUAUGUUGGCCGGGCGACGGUUGUCCCGGUUUAAGCGUGUAGGUGUGUGUUCCAGGUAAAUCCGGUUCACUUUAACACUGAGGCGUGACGACGAGGCACUACGGUGCUGAAGCAACAAAUGCCCUGCUUCCAGGAAAAGCCUCUAAGCAUCAGGUAACAUCAAAUCGUACCCCAAACCGACACAGGUGGUCAGGUAGAGAAUACCAAGGCGCUUGAGAGAACUCGGGUGAAGGAACUAGGCAAAAUGGUGCCGUAACUUCGGGAGAAGGCACGCUGACACGUAGGUGAAGUGAUUUACUCAUGGAGCUGAAGUCAGUCGAAGAUACCAGCUGGCUGCAACUGUUUAUUAAAAACACAGCACUGUGCAAACACGAAAGUGGACGUAUACGGUGUGACGCCUGCCCGGUGCCGGAAGGUUAAUUGAUGGGGUCAGCGCAAGCGAAGCUCCUGAUCGAAGCCCCGGUAAACGGCGGCCGUAACUAUAACGGUCCUAAGGUAGCGAAAUUCCUUGUCGGGUAAGUUCCGACCUGCACGAAUGGCGUAAUGAUGGCCAGGCUGUCUCCACCCGAGACUCAGUGAAAUUGAACUCGCUGUGAAGAUGCAGUGUACCCGCGGCAAGACGGAAAGACCCCGUGAACCUUUACUAUAGCUUGACACUGAACAUUGAGCCUUGAUGUGUAGGAUAGGUGGGAGGCUUUGAAGUGUGGACGCCAGUCUGCAUGGAGCCGACCUUGAAAUACCACCCUUUAAUGUUUGAUGUUCUAACGUGGACCCGUUACCCGGGUUGCGGACAGUGUCUGGUGGGUAGUUUGACUGGGGCGGUCUCCUCCUAAAGAGUAACGGAGGAGCACGAAGGUUGGCUAAUCCUGGUCGGACAUCAGGAGGUUAGUGCAAUGGCAUAAGCCAGCUUGACUGCGAGCGUGACGGCGCGAGCAGGUGCGAAAGCAGGUCAUAGUGAUCCGGUGGUUCUGAAUGGAAGGGCCAUCGCUCAACGGAUAAAAGGUACUCCGGGGAUAACAGGCUGAUACCGCCCAAGAGUUCAUAUCGACGGCGGUGUUUGGCACCUCGAUGUCGGCUCAUCACAUCCUGGGGCUGAAGUAGGUCCCAAGGGUAUGGCUGUUCGCCAUUUAAAGUGGUACGCGAGCUGGGUUUAGAACGUCGUGAGACAGUUCGGUCCCUAUCUGCCGUGGGCGCUGGAGAACUGAGGGGGGCUGCUCCUAGUACGAGAGGACCGGAGUGGACGCAUCACUGGUGUUCGGGUUGUCAUGCCAAUGGCACUGCCCGGUAGCUAAAUGCGGAAGAGAUAAGUGCUGAAAGCAUCUAAGCACGAAACUUGCCCCGAGAUGAGUUCUCCCUGAGACUUAGAGUCUCCUGAAGGAACGUUGAAGACGACGACGUUGAUAGGCCGGGUGUGUAAGCGCAGCGAUGCGUUGAGCUAACCGGUACUAAUGAACCGUGAGGCUUAACCUUACAACGCCGAAG
rnacentral:rRNA from 1 species